rnacentral:snRNA from 1 species
GUGUUACUCCAGCAGCACAUAUACUAUAAUUGAAACAAUACAGAGAAGAUUAGCAUGGCCCCGACACGAGG